AGGUGGUUGAUUAAGACAGGCGUGAAAUCCCCGGGCUUAACCUGGGAACUGCGCUUGUGACUGGUCAGCUAGAGUACGGCAGAGGGGGGUGGAAUUCCACGUGUAGCAGUGAAAUGCGUAGAGAUGUGGAGGAACACCGAUGGCGAAGGCAGCCCCCUGGGCCGAUACUGACGCUCAUGCACGAAAGCGUGGGUAGCAAACAGGAUUAGAAACCCCUGUAGUCC
rnacentral:rRNA from 1 species